rnacentral:lncRNA from 1 species
UCACAGUCGCACAGCAUAUUUGAUCUCUACGAAUCAUCCACACGAAGCCCUCAUAUCGAUCUGCUAUCUUCGGGAGUGCGAGCUCGCGAAGAUCACUCCUGAUGGCUGAUCUGAUUGGAUCUCCUUCUCUAAUUAUCUUGAAUCCUUCCAAGGUUGAAGAUGGAUCAACAAAGAUUGUUGGAGGAUGGAGGAAUAAUAGGGAAUGACCUAGAUCUAAUCUGGAUUUUUCUCUCCAAAACAAUUCAAUGCCAAGGCUGAACUUUCACCAAAGAGGAGGAAAUACUCCUCUAUGCUCUCACACCUA